CCUUUCUUUUCCUUUUUUCCCCGCUGUGCCUGAAUCUCCCGGGACACUUAGACGGCUGGAGCCUCCCGACUCCAAGGCGGGCGACGGCAAAGUUAAACGCCAGCGCGCUGCGGUCCCCGGGCACCGAGGCGUCCCCGCUCCCGCCACCCACACAGGGCGCCAAGUGCCCCGACCCGCGAGUGACGAGGACGCACAGCCUGGAAGCCUCGCGGCCCUCCAGAUGGACUCGGAGCGCCCCUGGAGGCUACAGUGACCUAAGCUCUAGGAAGGCCGGGUCCUGGACGCCGCGUGCUGCUGUCCGCCGCCGACCGGUGUCCUCGCAGAGAUAACCUGGCUGAACUCACCGCCCAGCGCUAUGUCAGUUCUCCCUCAUGACAACCCAAAACUUGACCGGAUUUGUGUUCUGCAGAGAGGAAAAAAAAAAGCGGCCACCGAACACCAGUGCAGUAGCCAGGAUGGGCCUGUGGCUCUGGCUGCAGCCUCCAGGGACACCAGCUGGAGAGAAGGAAGCCACGCAUGGAGAGCGGCCAGG
rnacentral:lncRNA from 1 species